UCUGGAUUCAGGGCCGCCACUACCAUCUUACUGGGCAGCAUUGGAUGAGUUCUGUGUUUCUAAUACUGCCUGGUAAUGAUGAUGGCCGCGGCCCAUACGCAACAACAGA